ACAGUAGUAGUUCAGUGGUAGAAUUCUUAUCCUCCAUGUGAGAGACCCAGGUUCGACUCCUGGCCAAUGCA
rnacentral:tRNA from 1 species